UUCGAUUUUAACUCUCUCUGUCUUUUUUUCCCUUACCGAAACGCUCUCUCUUCUCUCUUCUCUCUGUCUGCAUCUGCGUCGUCCUUUUUCUCUCUCUGUGCAUUGCUCCCAACUACGACUCUCUCGUUCACAUGUUCACAGUUGCUCUUCACCUCUCUCUGUCUAUUUGACCAUCACCGAUCGGUAGGGAAAUGGAAGCAGCAGAAGCAGGGUUCAUAUGGAUCAGAGAAACAGUUCCAAAGGUCUUCAAAAUCGUGAGCGCGAGACUGCCACGGAGAGAUCUCUUCUCUCUACUCCUCAGCCCAUGGGUUUGCCGCUCUUUUGUCUCCUUUCCCUCUGUUUAGUAAUUUUUUGUUUGCUCGUGUUUUUUUUUUUUAUUCUUUCUUUAUAGUGAAAAUUAUAUCGGUAUGUGUUCUUUGGAUUUUCGUUUUACAAAGUGUAGAUUUUUCUGAAAUGUGUUUCUUGUUUGUAUGGGGCAACUGGUGGUCAGAUCUUUGUUAGAGGGAAAGCUGGAGAGCGAUUUGCUGUUAGAAACUCUCUUGCUCAAGCAGUAGUGGAGGGCACUGGAGAUCAUUGUUGUGAGUACAUGACUGGUGGUUGUGUGGUUGUUCUUGGAAAGCGAGAAAUGCCUCUAUAGCUGGCAUAUUUUUAUUUAUACCGAAGCAAAUUGAAGAUGAUGGGAUUUGAAUCUAAAUUUAACUUGUGGCAGAGUGGGUAGAAAUGUAGCUGCUGGAAUGACUGGGGGUUUGAGUAUGAAAGAAACCCAUCUGAGUCGCGGCUAACCGAGUUGAACAUCAAGUGCUGGACCAAAUGGGGUUGCUCGCCAGGAUAGUACCAGCUUAAGUUUGAUGUAGAGGAAACAUGCUAUUUGUUGAGAGGGAAGGUGAAGGCAUACCCAAAAGGCUCGUCAUCUGAGUUUGUAGAGUUUGGUGCCGGAGACCUUGUGACCAUCCAAAAAGGGGACUUAGUUGCACUUGGGACGUGUCUGUUGCUGUGGACAAACACUACAAACACUACAAAUUCGAAUCAAAUUCUUCAUCAUCUUGAACUUCUUCUUAAUAAGUAGUACUACUCCGAUUAUUAUUUACCUUCUGAUCUAUUCAUCAACAUAUUAUUCUUUGAAAAGAAAAAAAAAAUUUAUAUUUACGUGUCUUUGUCUGUUUUUUAGAUUUUUUUUUUUCUUCUGCAUAGUGUUAUGUCUUUAGUCAAAGUUAUGUGAACACAUGCAAUUAGUCAAUACAUGUCCCCAUUCAUACUAA